rnacentral:rRNA from 1 species
GAAGUAAAAGUCGUAACAAGGUUUCCGUAGGUGAACCUGCGGAAGGAUCAUUAUCGAGAGAGGCUUCGGCCUCGGGGGCUUCGGCCCCCAACUCUUCACCCUGUGCGCAUCCAACCCGUGUUGCUUUGACGGCAUUCACGCCGUCCAAGAACCCAUCAAACUCGGCAAUCAGUGUCGUCGGAGCCCAAUCUAAUAACUAAAACUUUCAACAACGGAUCUCUUGGUUCUGGCAUCGAUGAAGAACGCAGCGAAAUGCGAUAAGUAAUGUGAAUUGCAGAAUUCAGUGAAUCAUCGAAUCUUUGAACGCACAUUGCGCCCCUUGGCAUUCCGAGGGGCAUACCUGUUCGAGCGUCAUUACACCCCUCAAGCCUUGGCUUGGUGUUGGGCGACGUCCCCCGGGACGGGCCCGAAUGGCAGUGGCGGUCCGGCGUGGCUUCAAGCGCAGUAGAUACACCGUUCGCUUGGGAGCCAUGCUCGGGUCCCGCCAGUCAACCCCAGACUCCAACCGUUUGACCUCGGAUCAGGU